rnacentral:rRNA from 1 species
UACGGGGGGGGCAAGCGUUGUUCGGAAUUACUGGGCGUAAAGGGCUCGUAGGCGGCCAACUAAGUCGGACGUGAAAUCCCCAGGCUCAACCUGGGAACUGCGUCCGAUACUGGUUGGCUUGAGUUUGGGAGAGGGAUGCGGAAUUCCAGGUGUAGCGGUGAAAUGCGUAGAUAUCUGGAGGAACACCGGUGGCGAAGGCGGCAUCCUGGACCAAUACUGACGCUGAGGAGCGAAAGCCAGGGGAGCAAACGGG